rnacentral:tRNA from 1 species
GCCGAGGUGGUGGAACUGGUAGACACGCUGUCUUGAGGGGGCAGUGGGGUUAAACCCGUAGGAGUUCGAGUCUCCUCCUCGGCACCA